AGUUUAGAAACCCCUUUGGUUCCUGAGAAUACAAAAGAAGCCCAAAAGCAAGCAAGAUACCUUUAUUGUCCUUUUCAUAGCAGAUUAUUUGAUCCAGUUUCAGCCCAGGCCCUUGCCUCCUUUGGAGCCUCUACCAAACUACCCUGCUGUGGGGAAGGAGUCAGCUUCAUCCCUCACAUUCCCAAAGUUCACUGACAAAAAUAAUCAGCACCAGACAAAUGAGGAUAACAUCCACGUUGUUACUGGGAUAUGAAAGUCAACACAACCUGAUACAAAAUGGUGAUGAUAAUGAAAGACCAGGUGACAUUUCAGGCUGACAUUUCAGGCCAGCGUUUUAGUGAUGUUUAUGAAAAUGUUAGCUUAAGAAUCUGUUGAACAAGGAUUUUGCAGAAUUGGGCCUGAGUCUGGGACUGUUUAUAGUGGAUUUAACCAAGAAUAUCUCACCUUAGUUUCUAGAGUAAAUCAUCAAGAUGAGUUCCUAGACAGCCUUUCUCAGACUGUGUUUUACAGCUCUUUAGUGGUCAGAAAUGAGUCCCAAAAUCCACACUGCCUUAGACUUACUGGGAACAGCCCUGUCCUCCAACACUGGCCUCAGAAAUUUAAAUUAGUUCUCCUCCCUCUGCCCCAGCUGAGCAGAGCUGCUGCCAGGAAUGAAAAGUGCAGGUGCUGCAAGGGUUAUGAGAGUGGGAAGAAGGGAGAGGAAAAGGGAGUUGUGAUAAGAGACUGGAGCCCUGCCCUCCUAUUCAGGAAAUACUGCUGCAAAGAAAUGAAAAUACUUUAGUUUUUGCUGCAUUAGUGCAAGGAUUAAUUGAAAAUGUCCCAGGUACAACUGCUAUUACAUUGCAAAAAAGCAGAAUAACACUGGGACCUGAGAUCAGAAAUGAAAGAGAACAAUAUCUUGCAUCACCCUCUAUGCACUCAGCCACUGAACCACCAUGGAACAAACCUGGCUGCCCUGAUUCAGCUACAGGAAAAUUUUGACCAUGUGGUUUAACCCCAAAUAAGCAGCACAAAGCUGCCCACUGAUUCUCCUCCCAGCAGGAUGAAGGAAAGAAUUGGGAGGGUAAAAGUGAGAAAACCUGUGGGUUGAGAUGAGAACAUUUUAAUAAUUGAAAUAAAAUAUUGUAAGAAUUAAUAAUAAAAAUAAAAAUUGCAUGUAAAAAGAAUUUUUUUUAUUAAAGGGAGAGAAAUUAAACCCAACAAGUGAUGCACAGUGCCAUUGUUCAUGACCAAUGGGCUUAUUUUCAGAAUCAGAGCUCAGGAAAAUGCUGAGGAUAACUAUAAAGAGACUAUAUGAAUAAUCUUUUAUAGUCAGCUGUAUUUUUCUUUUUUUUUCCCCACAGUAUUUCCAAAGUGACUCUCUGUAGGUUCCAGAUAGCUAAGUCUGAAGAGAAAGCACUCCCAAUGUCACCCCCACCCUCUCUAGUCUACUUUUAUUACAAUUGAAGUAUAAAUCACACAAGUUAAUCUUCCACAAAAGCCACUAUUGUUUUACAUUUACUUCUAUUUUUUAUUCUGAAAUUGCAGAGAUUUUGUUUUCUCAUUUAUCAUCAGAGAUGUUGUUGAAAUGUGGGAAGUGACAGAACAGGGUGAAUGUAGGAAGGAGCAAAACCCCAAUCUUUUGGCUGGCUCAUAUUAGUCACUACAAUCUGGUAUUUUUCCUGCAACACAUACAUGGAAGAGAGGGCACAAUUUCCCAAAGUGUUAAAUAUCCUGCUCCAUGCUGCAUACAAAAUAUUUGUUGGCAAUUGUGGUGAAAGAAAUGAUAGCCAUGGAGAGGUGCCAUUGGAUAAUUGCAAUCAUUUAUAUUACCAUGGUAUAAAUACAGUGUUUCAACCUUCAAUUUUAAAAUAAUUUAAAUUAGAAUAUGAAAAUAUUUCAAUUACAAAUUGAGUUAAAAAAACCCUCAAAACCAAUAAAUGGAAACUUCAAUUUUGUUUUUGAGAAAAAAAUAUUUAUGGAGGGAAUCCUUCCAAAGGAUUGUUCCCAUAGUUUUUGGA